rnacentral:rRNA from 1 species
AUUGAACGCUGGCGGCAGGCCUAACACAUGCAAGUCGAGCGAGCGGCGGACGGGCGAGUAAUGUCUGGGAAACUGCCUGAUGGAGGGGGAUAACUACUGGAAACGGUAGCUAAUACCGCAUACCAUCAGAUGUGCCCAGAUGGGAUUAGCUUGUAGGUGGGGUAAUGGCUCACCUAGGCGACGAUCCCUAGCUGGUCUGAGAGGAUGACCAGCCACCCUGGAACUGAGACUCGGUCCAGAUUCCUACGGGUGGCAGCAGUGGCGAAUAGUGCACAAUGGGCGCGAGCCUGAGGCAGCCAUGCCGCGUGUGUGAAGAAGGCGUUCGGGUUGUGAAGCACUUUCAGCGUGGAGGCGUUACCCGCAGAAGAAGCACCGGCUAACUCCGGGCCAGCAGCCGGGGUAAUAC